rnacentral:misc_RNA from 1 species
UACGUAGGUGGCAAGCGUUGUCCGGAAUUAUUGGGCGUAAAGCGCGCGUAGGCGGCAACGUAAGUCUGAUGUGAAAGCCCCCGGCUCAACCGGGGAGGGCGAUUGGAAACUGCGAGACUUGAGUGUAGGAGAGGAAAGUGGAAUUCCACGUGUAGCGGUGAAAUGCGUAGAGAUGUGGAGGAACACCAGUGGCGAAGGCGACUCUUUGGCCUAUAACUGACGCUGAGGCGCGAAAGCGUGGGGAGCAAACAGG